GCUGCCGUUGUUGCGCACCGCAAUGGUGCGGCAGGGCCAGGCUGGGCAGCCAGGGUAUGGAAAGAGACCGUGGUGGGGGUAGGCACUAAAAAGGGCGCGAAUAAGGUUUCCCCAUUCUUACACUACAACGGGAAGAAAAACACGAACCAGUUUUCCGACAUAAAAACCAAGGAAACUGUAUUAACACGUACCAAUAUGAUGUUAUUUCGAUGAUUCUGUUUGAAACUGAGUCUCUUAGCGACCGAGUUUUACCUAGAUAGCAGUUUGAAAUAUUCCAAAUGUUAUCCUCGAAAGUUGGUGAAAAUAGACCUUGUUGUCCCUUUCUGCUCUAUCUGGCCCGGCUGGUUCUGUGCAUAAAUUUGAUUUUUCCUGUAUUUUCCUCAUAAUUUGUAUCUGAGAGCAUGGCUAUUGUCGUAAAAUAUUCUGUUCGUGGAUUUGCGAGCACCAAUCAAACGCACAAGCUCAAGAACUCUCCGGAAAACCACCCGAGAAGGUAUUACAUAUGGCUUCGACAUGCUGCGACUCAGUGGGAAUCCCAAACUUCAGAAUAUUCUGCAGAUUGAAUUACUCAAGAUGGAAGUGUGUUGAGACCAUUUCACCCUUGCUAUGUUUUGGAAGAACACCAUGCCACGUCUGAUAAUUAAUGCAGUGUCUGAUAUCUUGGGAACGUGACACCCCCUCGAGCUGAUGGUGGCCGACAAAUUGGGGGUCCUUCACAAGCUGCUUCAGGGUCUUCCUGCAUUGAAGUGCCAUAUUCCAGUGUACCUGGUGUUGCUGCAGAAGAGCCUGUUGAGACAGGUUCAGUUCGAGCAGAAAAUUUGAUUGCAAAUUAUGCUGGCCAAGAAGACAGAGUCAGCACGGAGCAAGACUUUGCCCAAAAUAGUACAGAAGAUUUCACAGCCAAGAGUUUCGAACUGGUCAGCCCUGAAGGACGCUGGUGUUAUGUGCAAUUUUGUGAAAUAUAUUUAAUUUACAUGAA